AAUUGGAGGGCAAGUCUGGUGCCAGCAGCCGCGGUAAUUCCAGCUCCAAUAGCGUAUAUUAAAGUUGUUGCAGUUAAAAAGCUCGUAGUUGAAUUUCGGGAUUGACGUGAUGGUCGUGCCUUAAGGGGUAUGAACUGUUGCUGUUGAUUUCUCACCUUCUGGAGAAACUUGAUGUCCUUAAUUGGGUGUCUUGCGGAUCCAGGACCUUUACCUUGAAAAAAUUAGAGUGUUUAAAGCAGGCAUUUUUGCUCGAAUACAUUAGCAUGGAAUAAUAGAAUAGGACGGCAUGGUUCUAUUUUGUUGGUUUCUAGGAUCACCGUAAUGAUUAAUAGGGAUAGUUGGGGGCAUUAGUAUUCAAUUGUCAGAGGUGAAAUUCUUGGAUUUAUUGAAGACUAACUACUGCGAAAGCAUUUGCCAAGGAUGUUUUCAUUAAUCAAGAACGAAAGUUAGGGGAUCGAAGACGAUCAGAUACCGUCGUAGUCUUAACCAUAAACUAUGCCGACUAGGAAUCAGACGAUGUUAAUUUUUUAAUGACUCGUUUGGCACCUUACGGGAAACCAAAGUGU
rnacentral:rRNA from 1 species